CCCAGACUCCUACGGGAGGCAGCAGUGGGGAAUAUUGCACAAUGGGGGAAACCCUGAUGCAGCGACGCCGCGUGAGCGAAGAAGUAUUUCGGUAUGUAAAGCUCUAUCAGCAGGGAAGAAAUUGACGGUACCUGAGUAAGAAGCUCCGGCUAAAUACGUGCCAGCAGCCGCGGUAAUACGUAUGGAGCAAGCGUUAUCCGGAUUUACUGGGUGUAAAGGGAGCGUAGGCGGCCUGCCAAGUCUGAUGUGAAAUACCGGGGCUCAACCCCGGGGCUGCAUUGGAAACUGGCAGGCUGGAGUGUCGGAGAGGCAGGCGGAAUUCCUAGUGUAGCGGUGAAAUGCGUAGAUAUUAGGAGGAACACCAGUGGCGAAGGCGGCUUGCUGGACAGAGACUGACGUUGAGGCUCGAAAGCGUGGGGAGCAAACAGGAUUAGAUACCCCAGUAA
rnacentral:rRNA from 1 species